rnacentral:rRNA from 1 species
AUUGAACGCUGGCGGCAUGCCUUACACAUGCAAGUCGAACGGUAACAGGUCUUCGGAUGCUGACGAGUGGCGAACGGGUGAGUAAUACAUCGGAACGUGCCUAGUAGUGGGGGAUAACUACUCGAAAGAGUGGCUAAUACCGCAUGAGAUCUACGGAUGAAAGCAGUGGAUCGCAAGACCUUGUGCUACUAGAGCGGCCGAUGGCAGAUUAGGUAGUUGGUGGGAUAAAAGCUUACCAAGCCGACGAUCUGUAGCUGGUCUGAGAGGACGAUCAGCCACACUGGGACUGAGACACGGCCCAGACUCCUACGGGAGGCAGCAGUGGGGAAUUUUGGACAAAGGGCGCAAGCCUGAUCCAGCAAUGCCGCGUGCAGGAUGAAGGCCUUCGGGUUGUAAACUGCUUUUGUACGGAACGAAAAGCCCUGGGUUAAUACCCUGGGGUCAUGACGGUACCGUAAGAAUAAGCACCGGCUAACUACGUG